rnacentral:rRNA from 1 species
GACAAAUGAUUGGGGUGAAGUCGUAACAAGGUAGCCGUAUCGGAAGGUGCGGCUGGAUCACCUCCUUU